rnacentral:rRNA from 1 species
AUAUCAAUAAGCGGAGGAAAAGAAACUAACAAGGAUUCCCCUAGUAACGGCGAGUGAAGAGGGAAAAGCUCAAAUUUGAAAUCUGGCUCUUUUAGAGUCCGAGUUGUAAUUUGUAGAGGGCGCUUUGGCGUUUGCAGCGGUCUAAGUUCCUUGGAACAGGACGUCACAGAGGGUGAGAAUCCCGUACGUGGUCGCUAGUAUUCGCCGUGUAAAGCCCCUUCGACGAGUCGAGUUGUUUGGGAAUGCAGCUCUAAAUGGGAGGUAAAUUUCUUCUAAAGCUAAAUACUGGCCAGAGACCGAUAGCGCACAAGUAGAGUGAUCGAAAGAUGAAAAGCACUUUGGAAAGAGAGUCAAACAGCACGUGAAAUUGUUGAAAGGGAAGCGCUUGCAGCCAGACUUGCCUGUAGUUGCUCAACCGAGCUUUUGCCCGGUGCAUUCUUCUGCGGGCAGGCCAGCAUCAGUUUGGGCGGUCGGAUAAAGGUCUCUGUCACGUACCUCCUUUCGGGGAGGCCUUAUAGGGGAGGCGACAUGCGACCAGCCUGGACUGAGGUCUGCGCAUCUGCUAGGAUGCUGGCGUAAUGGCUGUAAGCGG